rnacentral:rRNA from 1 species
CACGUAGAGCGCAAGCGUUGUCCGGAAUUAUUGGGCGUAAAGAGCUCGUAGGCGGUCUGUUGCGUCCGCUGUGAAAACUCGGGGCUUAACCCCGAGCCUGCAGUGGAUACGGGCAGACUAGAGGUAGGUAGGGGAGAAUGGAAUUCCCGGUGUAGCGGUGAAAUGCGCAGAUACCGGGAGGAACACCGGUGGCGAAGGCGGUUCUCUGGGCCUUACCUGACGCUGAGGAGCGAAAGCGUGGGGAGCGAACAGG